rnacentral:snRNA from 1 species
AGCCGCUAAGAAGAAAUG